rnacentral:lncRNA from 15 species
AGUUAAGCUGCUGGCUUUAGUCUAAUGUUAAACAUAUGAGAGUGGUAUCAAUAUUCUCCUCUACCUCUAAAAGCUUAUUUCCCCAAAUGUCAAACUAUACUAUGUUAUCUCUUUCUGAGCAGGGCUAUAAUUAUGUUUUGAGCAUAAUCAGAAAUGAGCUGUUAUUUAACUCUUUCAGAACCACACAUAAUAGUAUAAAUGGGCUUGUGAUAAAUGUUUGUUCUGUUGGUUUAGUUCCAGUUUCUUCUCCAGCAUCCUCCGAUGGUGGUGUCACUGGAGGUGUUGCUGCAGCAGUUUUCGUCGUUGUGGCAGCUUUCAUCACUGGAUACUUUAUCUGGCGAAAGAAAUGUCAUGCUGGACAGACCUCCAAUUGACAAAGAACGCAAUCAUUAGCUUCACAACAACAAGCUGAUUCCCAGGAGUCAACCACAGAACCGGAUAACUCCGCAGAAUCAGCUACACUGGAAGUACCAGGAUGUGCAGACACAGAAAAUAUGAAUUUAAAGGACAUAAAAAUAACUGAAAUUUAAUAAAAAAAACUUGUCUAAAACAUUAUUUUAUGACUUAAAUGGCUGAAACGUUUUGCCUCUCUCGCCGUCCUGUCCUAACAAUCUUAUUUAAGACCAAACCUCACAUCCUUGUCUCUGCCAUGUGCUCAUGUGUUGAGGUCAUACUUACCAUAUUUAAUAUUUAGUCAGAUAUUUUUGAUAAAUACAUAGUAUCAGUGUUAACAAACAAAAACAACAAACUGUAAAAUAAUGUUUGGGGUGUACUGGAUUCACUGGUUUAACAUUAUUUAAGAGUCAUAAUGAUAAUGUAAUAACUCACCCUAACUGGAAAUAGGGUUGUUGUCUUUGAGCACAAUGUGAAUUUGGCUUCUAUACAGACAAUCAAUAAUUGUUAUUCAUUCAUUGAUGUGACAUUUUUUUUUUAUUUAUUUUUUCACUUUUGAGCAGCAAGAAAAGAAAAUCUUUGAAACUCUUAGAACAUUUCUUGGUUUGUUAUUGGUCGGUGAAACCUCUAUUUUUUUGGGGGGGGGGGGGUUAUACGGGGUCUAUUGUCUGUUUGUAGUUUAGUCAUUUUUAUUCUAUUUGUUAAGCACACCCACCUUGUCCCACCCUCUCUAUAUACUGUUGUAUGAUUGCAAGCAUCAGUAAGCUGUAAAUAAAUCCCUUUUUGUCAGUUCCACUCUGACUCCUACAAUUUCUUUGGUUAUCGUGUUAUCGUCUGUUUCACUUACACACUGACCAGAUGUGUGUUUCUGUAACCUUCCACUAGAGUGCAACAUACACUUGAAAACUGAAGCAGAAAUUAAUUUGCUGUAGAGAAACAAGUUGUCAGGAAGUUGUUUUCACACCUUCAGUGUGAGUGUUAAGUGAGUG